UGCCAGCCGCCGCGGUAAUACGGAGGGUGCAAGCGUUAAUCGGAAUUACUGGGCGUAAAGCGCGCGUAGGCGGCUGUUUAAGUCGGAUGUGAAAGCCCCGGGCUCAACCUGGGAACUGCAUUCGAUACUGGACAGCUAGAGUAUGGGAGAGGGUUGUGGAAUUCCACGUGUAGCGGUGAAAUGCGUAGAUAUCGGAAGGAACACCAGUGGCGAAGGCGACUUCCUGGGCCAAUACUGACGCUGAGGUGCGAAAGCGUGGGGAGCAAACAGGAUUAGAUA
rnacentral:rRNA from 1 species